GCAUUGGUGGUUCAGUGGUAGAACUCGGACCUUCCGUGUGGGAGACCCGGGUUCAAUUCCUGGCCACCGUA
rnacentral:tRNA from 1 species